UUGAUGACUGGAGGCUGAAGCCCUCUUUUUCUACAGAACAGAAAUAGCAUGAGCGGCAGCAGGGCAGGUUCUCAGCUCCUGCCAGUGUAUAUUGCCCCUAAAUUGGAGCAAGCACUUCUGUGGGUGAAAGGGGAGUGCAGUCUCCAAGAUCAGUUAGCCCUUGUCUUCA
rnacentral:sRNA from 1 species